UACGGAGGGGGCUAGCGUUGUUCGGAAUUACUGGGCGUAAAGCGCACGUAGGCGGCUUUGUAAGUUAGAGGUGAAAGCCCAGGGCUCAACCCUGGAAUUGCCUUUAAGACUGCAUCGCUUGAACAUCGGAGAGGUAAGUGGAAUUCCGAGUGUAGAGGUGAAAUUCGUAGAUAUUCGGAAGAACACCGGUGGCGAAGGCGGGUCUCUGGGCCGAUACUGACGCUGAGGAGCGAAAGCGUGGGGAGCGAACAGG
rnacentral:rRNA from 1 species